GUGAGUCAUCGAAUCUUUGAACGCACAUUGCGCCCAUUGGUACUCCAUUGGGCAUGCCUGUUCGAGCGUCAUUUACACCCUCAAGCUCUGCUUGGUGUUGGGCGUCUGUCCUGCUCUCCUGCAUGGACUCGCCCUAAAGCUAUCGGCAGCUCCUAUGCCAGCCCCCAGCGCAGCAGAAUCAGCGCUCUGGAGGGCCUGGCUGGGCAGCGUCCGGCAAGAUUCAUUUCAAGCUUGACCUCGGAUCAGGUAGGGAUACCCGCUGAACUUAAGCAUAUCAAUAAGCGGAGGA
rnacentral:misc_RNA from 1 species